rnacentral:lncRNA from 1 species
CCCAACCUGACUGCUGUGUUCUGCCCUGAGUCUGCAGAGGCUGACCCUGGCCAGGAAAGUGGUUGGAAAAGCAUUUUUGCAGAGAGGCAGCCUGAAGGUGGUGGCUCUAUGUAAGUGUGCACCCUUGGUUGGAAAGGCUGAAGGUCAGGAAUGGUAUUAGGAGAAAGUUCCCCCUUUCUCCUUUGUCCCUCCUUCCUGCCCCUGGACACAGGCUUGAGGAUCUGCAUCUGGCUGGCUCACCCUUCCUGCACAACUUUUCUAUUCAAGUUUUUCAGGGCAGGGCUUUAAGAAACACUUCAGGUUAAUUAUAGCCAGGGGUCAUUUUCUAUACAAGCGGGACAAACUUGAUGUGACUACAGGGCUGUCUCCAGGGCUGAUUCAUUCGACCUAGAAAACUGCCCCUAGGGAAACAGCCUCAGAAUCUUGCCUGCAGCUCUGGAAGUGGUAAUGGGCCCACCUGUCUCCCUGCCCAUCAUCUCACAUCUGGGGGAAUGUCUUGGCUAGCAGCAUGGCCCUGAGUGAGGGGUUUAGGUAAACAAGGUGUGACUGGGAUUGGAAGAGUCACAAACCUGUUUGUUAGAGCAAUGCUGAAGAGUUUCAGGAAAAGAAUUUCAUCAAGGCUGGCACAUCUGUCCUCAGACACUUGAAGGAUUCCCUGGAGGAAGGAGGACUGAACUUGCCCUACAAGAUCCUGCGGGGCAAAGAACUGUAAGCAGAGACAAAAUGAAAGCCCUCUAGGCCCACAAUUGAUUCUAACGGCUGUGAGGGAAUGAGCUUCAACUACUGUUGAUGGGAGGGACUGUGUGCCAGGCACUGUGCUAGGGACUCUCAUGCAUGAUCUCAUUCAUCUUCUGCAUAACCCAAUGAGGUAUGAUCUACUAUCAAGUGUCUACAUUUGUAUUGGAUUGGUAUGUGUGCCCAACAAAGAAAGUGUCAUUUUUCCUUGGGAAUGAAAUCACAUCAUUUGUGAAGACUUAGUAGAGGCUAAAUGAGUACAAGCAGCAUUUACCUUAUUAAACAGAUAUUUUCAACAUUUAAAACAGUCUGACCAUCAAUGAUGAUGUUCAAAAACAUCUCAAGAUGUUUUAGAGCUAAAGCAAAUGAGAAAAUAUAGUAAAGGGCUGAUUCCUGUGGAUAUUCUGCAAAGGAAAGUAACAUGGUGGAGUGGAAGUGGGAUAAGGUUUGAAGCCAAAAGACCUGGUGGGCUUAAGGUCUCCAUUUAUUGGUUGUGUGACCUUGGAUAAGCCACUUCACCUCCUGGUGAGACUUGGGCAAAAUGGAGAUCAUAUUAAUCACCUCACAGUUUGUUACGCAUUGAGUAAAUGCACAUGUAAGCAUUAUUGACUGUAAAUGAUUAUGCAUAUUUUAAUUAUGGUAUAUCCAAGCCUGAUUUUUCAUCCAGUGCUUACAGUGCCCUGGGCAUAAUACUCAUUCAAUAAACAUUUGUUUGAUGAUAGAGUAAUAAAUGAAUAUGUGAUGCAGAAGUUUUAAAAAUAUUUUUGCUGCUGUCUGACUCAUUUAUAGACAUUUAUAAAAUUGAGGAUUUGUAAGUUGUCCCUGGACAAUCAGAUCUCUUGAUUCAAAGGUGAAAGAUAAUCAUUCAGGUUUUCAAGUUUUUCCUGAUAUGAGACAUUAACUGGCAGGGCUGAUUAUGAGAAAUUGUCAUUAUCCUGCUCAAAUAUAAGAUCAUAGAUUUGGGAAACCUUAGAAAUAAUUACCUUCUUUUCAAAUAUGAGGAAACUGAAGCCCAGAGGCUCUAAGAAAUCAGGGACUUUAUAUAAUUUUUUCAUUUCUCUAGCUCUAGGGUAAUUGUAGAUAGAUAUACAACAAGUAUGUUUUUAAAAGUAUAUUUUUCAAGAAUUAUGCUAAGCACUGGGGAAAUAAACAUUAACAAGACAAAACCCUCCCCUUUGAGGAACUGAUAAUCUAGACAGACAUGAAAACCAGGAAGUGUGCUAUCAGUUAUAUUAAUGUUGUACAGAGUUCUAGUGGCAAGAGGGAACUGCCAAGGGAAAUCUGAGAGGAGGUGUUUACCCUGCGUAAACACCUUGCUGUUUAGCUUGGCAUCCCUAGAAGCAGACCCUGAGGACAGUGGGAAAAUGGAUUAUUAAGGAAGUGCUCCUGAGAGAAACCAGAAAGGGGGUGUAGGGAGCAAGGGAGGAUAAGGAGAAGACUCCAGUAAGGAUGAGAUUACUCAAGUCCCAUGGAAGACAGGUUAGCCUGAUCCUGCAGGGGAGCCCUGGAGGCACAUGCCUGAAAGGCAGUCUUGGAGCAGCUGCCUCAUGUUGGAGGAAAAACACUGAAGUGGGAUGAGAAGAUGUGAGUUCCGGUCCCAGAUCUGAUUUGUUUGGCACAUAAGUUUGGACUUAACAUCUCUGGAAAGCCAGAAAUCAGAGAUACAGAGAAGUAUUGAAAUGCUGAAAUGCUAUGAAUUUACUAUAAGAGAACAUUCUUCACUGAAGAGAUCUCUAGCUGCCAAAACACCCUUUCAUGCGUGAAAUACCGGGGCAAAGAGGAAGGAAAAGAGAAGAGUAUGACUCUAGGAACCAUGUUGCAGAAAUGCCAAAGGGUGGGACAAACAAAGUUACUAAUGUGGAGAAAGAAGAUUAUCAUGUGUGGAACGAAGGACAAUAUGAACAUUAAAUAAUGCCCUGACUCAUUCCAAAAAGAAUCUGAGAUGACCAAUAAAGCCAUUUUUAAUUGUUUAUUAGUGAACAAUAGAUUAUGAGUGCUAAAGGGAUUCAGGAAGAAGAAAGAUCAGUGCAGAGUAGAGAAGUCUGAUGGAUGCAUUGAAGAAGCUAUGCUUGAGCUGAAAUGACAAGAGAGCUGUUUUUCGCUUUCAGAAUUAUUAUGUGGCAAUGGUAAUUGACAACAGAGAAGCUGAAGGGAGGAAGUCACUUUAUGGGAGCAGAGUCACUCUCAAGUAAUAGCUGGCCAUACAGAUUGCUCUGGACCAAGGGUGAAUGUGAAGAAGAAAAGACCGGCCAGCAACACAAUGGAAUAUCUAGAGUCAUAUUGAGGGAAAUACUUAGAUUGCUGAUUUCUUAGUGGAUUUCACAAGCAGAGCUGCUUGUGAGCAGAAUGGUGAAGUAGGGGCAUGUGUUUCUGGGGUCUUAUUCCAUGGCUUCCUUCCACCUACAAGAGUCAUCCUCACGGAGUACUUGCAUUUCAGUAGAAGAAAAAAAUCUUAUAGAUGGAAGGGAAGGAUGGGGUUCCUGCUUUAGGAAGAUUGGCAUGGUCAUAAGUCUGAGCAAGGAAGGGCCCAGGGCAGCUCAGAGCUCUGAGCAGGAAGCUCUAAUUAGUUACUGAAUAUGGUGCAAGCACAAAGAGAGCGUAGUGUUUUCCCUUUCCAUCUGUGGAAGUCUUGGCCAUGCUUACUUGGGCGUUCCUUCCAGGAAACAUUUAUUUUUCCUCUUUAAUGCCCUCCUCAUAUCUAUGCUCUCAGUAGAGGAUGCCACUGCUUCUGGCACCUGGAUAAUAGAAUGAAGCUGAUUGGGAUGGAAACAGAAAAGUCAUCUCUCAGAACAAUGAGCAGAGACUGAAACUCCCUUGUACCCAGUCCCUGUGCACUGCUGUUCAUAGCCAAAUGGGCAAGGCCUUGCCAAAUGUCAUGUUGAGAUAGAAGAAGAAGGCAGAGGAGUCAGUGUUGGAGUGAUGCCAUGUGAGAAAGACUCAACUGGCCAUUGCUGGCUUUGAAAAUGGAAGGAGGCAUAAGCCAAGGAAUGAAUGCAGGUGCCUCUAGAACCUGGAAAAAGCAAGGAAACAAAUUCUCCUCUAGAACCUCCAGAAGGAAUGCAUUCCUGCCAACACCUUGAUUUUUAGCUCGGUGAGACCCAUGCUGGACUUCUGACCUGCAGGAUUGCAAGAUAAGAUAUUUGACUUAUUUUAAGAUGCUAAGUUUGCAGUAAUUUGAUAUGGUAGCCAUCGGAAACUAAUACCGAUGCCAAAGCAGUAAAGCAGGAAAGCACUCCAAAAUCACAGGAGUGAGAGGAGCAGAAAUGUCCUAGGAGAAGACAAUGUUUCCUUUUGAAAAGGAAAGUUUACUGGCAACUUCCAUUUGAAUUUCUUAAUUUCUUUCCUCAGUGGCAGUCACUACUUCCAAGGUGGCAGGUUCCAGAGCUGAUUCAUUAUAUAAUCUUUUCUCAGGAGUAUUCUAGCCACCUUUAAAGAAGCUAGGGCCAUUUUCCUGACACUGCAUCAAGGGGUAAGGUUAGUGGUAAAGAAACCAUGCGGUAGGAAAGGCCAACUUUCUCCCUACAUAAUCCAAUCGCAUUAUCUCCAGACUUGCUCACCCUCUGCUCUUUGCAUACUGCAGCUCCAGAGCUUUCAUACCUACAGACUUCCUGGAGUUAAGACUAAAACAAGAGUUGUGCUACAGACUACCGUUCCUAUUAUCAUUUUUUGUGUCCUGCUGAGUCCUCCCCUCUUGGCAACUUCAGGACCACCCACUGGGAAGAUAAUAUACAACCCAUCAGGAAACUCCCAGUGCCCAUCGUGGAGGCCAAGUGCUGCCAACUCUGAUUGCUUCUGGAAUGCCAUUUCUUCCCUGCCCUUUCAAUAUUCUUGUUAUGCGACUCCUAUGAUCACUGCCAAUCUGUAGAAAAUUACAGGAUGAAUUUUUGUGAAGGACUGAAUUUGCAUACUGGUCUUUUGUUGUUUAUUGUUGGGGGGAUUUUGCUUUUUGCACACAAUUUCUGCACAUUUUAUUGGAAGUUAUUGGGUUAGAUUCAUCCCAUUCAUUCACUAGCCUGGCAUUGCUAUGCAUGUGCUGUAGGGGCUUAGCAUUAAACGAUUUUCUUUGUUCAGAUUUGGAUUGCUGUCUCUGCUUGCAAAUUAUUUUUCACAAUGACUCCUUCUUUUCCUUCUCUCUCUCUCUCUUUCUCUCUCUCUCUCUCUCACACACACACACAGACACACACACACACACACACACACACACACACACACACACACAGAUGAGGUUAGAUAUUUUUCCAUUGCCAAGUUCAGGACCCAUGAAUAC